rnacentral:rRNA from 1 species
ACAAUGCGGAACAAUGUUUUGCAAUUGGAUUGAGAACAACGUACAAACCUUAUCGAUAAACAAUUGGAGGGCAAGUCUGGUGCCAGCAGCCGCGGUAAUUCCAGCUCCAAUAGCGUAUAUUAACGUUGUUGCAGUUAAAAAGCUCGUAGUUGAAAUGAAGGGUAGUUGUGUAAUGAAUACAUUCGUGUAUUUUGUUAUUCAAGUAUCCUCCUUCUAAAUUCGAUAUAUGAGUAUUAAUUUACUUGUAUAUGGUUUUAGACAUUUACUGUGAGAAAAUUAGAGUGUUCAAAGCAGGCAUUUGCUUGAAUAUAUUAGCAUGGAAUAAUCAUGUAUGAUUUUCAUGAUGUAUUUGAUUGGUUUGGUUGAUGAGAAUAAGAUUAAAAGGGACAGUUGGGGGUAUUCAUAUUCAAUAGUCAGAGGUGAAAUUCUCGGAUUUAUGGAAGAUGAA